rnacentral:rRNA from 1 species
UACGAUGGAGGGCUAGCGUUGCUCGGAAUCACUGGGCGUAAAGGGUGCGUAGGCGGGUCUUUAAGUCAGGGGUGAAAUCCUGGAGCUCAACUCCAGAACUGCCUUUGAUACUGAGGAUCUUGAGUUCGGGAGAGGUGAGUGGAACUGCGAGUGUAGAGGUGAAAUUCGUAGAUAUUCGCAAGAACACCAGUGGCGAAGGCGGCUCACUGGCCCGAUACUGACGCUGAGGCACGAAAGCGUGGGAGCAACAGGG